rnacentral:rRNA from 1 species
UCUUGAUGAACGCUAGCUACAGGCUUAACACAUGCAAGUCGAGGGGCAGCAUGGUCUUAGCUUGCUAAGGCCGAUGGCGACCGGCGCACGGGUGAGUAACACGUAUCCAACCUGCCGUCUACUCUUGGACAGCCUUCUGAAAGGAAGAUUAAUACAAGAUGGCAUCAUGAGUCCGCAUGUUCACAUGAUUAAAGGUAUUCCGGUAGACGAUGGGGAUGCGUUCCAUUAGAUAGUAGGCGGGGUAACGGCCCACCUAGUCUUCGAUGGAUAGGGGUUCUGAGAGGAAGGUCCCCCACAUUGGAACUGAGACACGGUCCAAACUCCUACGGGAGGCAGCAGUGAGGAAUAUUGGUCAAUGGGCGAGAGCCUGAACCAGCCAAGUAGCGUGAAGGAUGACUGCCUUAUGGGUUGUAAACUUCUUUUAUAAAGGAAUAAAGUCGGGUAUGGAUACCCGUUUGCAUGUACUUUAUGAAUAAGGAUCGGCUAACUCCGUGCCAGCAGCCGCGGUAAUACGGAGGAUUCGAGCGUUAUCCGGAUUUAUUGGGUUUAAAGGGAGCGUAGAUGGAUGUUUAAGUCAGUUGUGAAAGUUUGCGGCUCAACCGUAAAAUUGCAGUUGAUACUGGAUAUCUUGAGUGCAGUUGAGGCAGGCGGAAUUCGUGGUGUAGCGGUGAAAUGCUUAGAUAUCACGAAGAACUCCGAUUGCGAAGGCAGCCUGCUAAGCUGCAACUGACAUUGAGGCUCGAAAGUGUGGGUAUCAAACAGGAUUAGAUACCCUGGUAGUCCACACGGUAAACGAUGAAUACUCGCUGUUUGCGAUAUACGGCAAGCGGCCAAGCGAAAGCGUUAAGUAUUCCACCUGGGGAGUACGCCGGCAACGGUGAAACUCAAAGGAAUUGACGGGGGCCCGCACAAGCGGAGGAACAUGUGGUUUAAUUCGAUGAUACGCGAGGAACCUUACCCGGGCUUAAAUUGCAGAUGAAUUACGGUGAAAGCCGUAAGCCGCAAGGCAUCUGUGAAGGUGCUGCAUGGUUGUCGUCAGCUCGUGCCGUGAGGUGUCGGCUUAAGUGCCAUAACGAGCGCAACCCUUGUUGUCAGUUACUAACAGGUUCUGCUGAGGACUCUGACAAGACUGCCAUCGUAAGAUGUGAGGAAGGUGGGGAUGACGUCAAAUCAGCACGGCCCUUACGUCCGGGGCUACACACGUGUUACAAUGGGGGGUACAGAGGGCCGCUACCACGCGAGUGGAUGCCAAUCCCAAAAACCUCUCUCAGUUCGGACUGGAGUCUGCAACCCGACUCCACGAAGCUGGAUUCGCUAGUAAUCGCGCAUCAGCCACGGCGCGGUGAAUACGUUCCCGGGCCUUGUACACACCGCCCGUCAAGCCAUGGGAGCCGGGGGUACCAAAAGUGCGUAACCGCGAGGAGCGCCCUAGG